rnacentral:pre_miRNA from 1 species
AGGAGGAACAGCCCCAGUGGCGGGGCAGCUCUGGAAACCUGGAUUCAGCUCCGGCAGGAACUCGUCUGCAGGGCCUGGAGGCUCCGGGGCGGG